UCCUUUGCCUCAUUUCUUUUCACUCCCUACUAUUUCCUCCACUCCCUCACACUCUCCUCCUCCACUUCCCCACGAAAAUGGUGCUCCCCUUGCUCCCAUGGCCGGCCAUGGCCAUGGCAAGCUACCAAGAUGAAGCUCUCCCUCUCCCUCAAGCUCCUCCUCACCAUGAGAGCCUCCCUCUCCUUCUUCUCCCCAACCCUAGAUGGUUUUCUCUCCUCUUCUUCUUCCUCCCUUGCUAAGAUUGGAUCUUGAUGCAGGUGCAUGUUGGUCCAAGCAUGGAGAAGCUUGAGCUAUCCUCAGAUCUGAAGUUCUUGAGCAAAAUCCAAAUCGAGUGAUUCAAAGUUCUGCAGAUAGGUAUUGAAAAGAUCUACAACUUGGCGUUGGUCUCAUCCUCAAAUUCGUUACGGAUUUUGCAUGAUCAAGAUCUGGUCAGAUCUGACUUUGUCGAAUUAAACCAGGAGCUUGGAAACUAUUUUUUGAAUGAAACCAACUGGG